rnacentral:rRNA from 1 species
UACGGAGGGUGCGAGCGUUAAUCGGAAUUACUGGGCGUAAAGGGUUCGUAGGUGGUUUGAUAAGUUAUCUGUGAAAGCCCUGGGCUUAACCUGGGAAGGCCAGAUAAGACUGUUAGGCUAGAGUAUGGGAGGGGGUAGUGGAAUUUCCGGUGUAGCGGUGAAAUGCGUAGAGAUCGGAAGGAACACCGGUGGCGAAGGCGGCUACCUGGCCUAAUACUGACACUGAGGGACGAAAGCGUGGGGAGCAAACAGG